GAUGAACGCUGGCGGCGUGCUUAACACAUGCAAGUCGAACGAAGCACUUUACUUGAUUUCUUCGGAUUGAUUUUAAAGUGACUUAGUGGCGGACGGGUGAGUAACGCGUGGGUAACCUGCCUCGGUACAGGGGGAUAACAGUUAGAAAUGACUGCUAAUACCGCAUAACCCGCUAAAGUCGCAUGACUUAGACGGAAAAGAUUUAUCGGUACGAGAUGGACCCGCGUCUGAUUAGCUAGUUGGUGAGGUAACGGCCCACCAAGGCGACGAUCAGUAGCCGGCCUGAGAGGGUGAACGGCCACAUUGGGACUGAGACACGGCCCAAACUCCUACGGGAGGCAGCAGUGGGGAAUAUUGCACAAUGGAGGAAACUCUGAUGCAGCCAUGCCGCGUGUGUGAAGAAGGCCUUCGGGUUGUAAAGCACUUUCAGAGGGGAGGAGAAUGACGUUACCCUCAGAAGAAGCACCGGCUAACUCCGUG
rnacentral:rRNA from 1 species